CCCUUAGAUGUUCUGGGCCGCACGCGCGCUACACUGACGAAUGCAACGAGCUUAUAACCUUGGCCGAAAGGUCUGGGUAAUCUCCAAAUUUCGUCGUGAUGGGGAUAGAUUAUUGCAAUUAUUAAUCUUCAACGAGGAAUGCCUAGUGAGCGCAAGUCAUCAGCUUGCGUUGAUUACGUCCCUGCCCUUUGUACACACCGCCCGUCGCUCCUACCGAUUGAAUGGUCCGGUGAAGCGUUCGGACCGUGGCCUUUGGACGGUUCGCCGUCUGUUGGCUGCGGGAAGUUCGUUAAACCUUAUCAUUUAGAGGAAGGAGAAGUCGUAACA
rnacentral:rRNA from 1 species